UGGGGGAUAUUGCACAAUGGGGGGAACCCUGAUGCAGCGACGCCGCGUGAGUGAAGAAGUAUUUCGGUAUGUAAAGCUCUAUCAGCAGGGAAGAAAGAGACGAAAGUCUUGUGACAGUACCUGACUAAGAAGCCCCGGCUAACUACGUGCCAGCAGCCGCGGUAAUACGUAGGGGGCAAGCGUUAUCCGGAUUUACUGGGUGUAAAGGGAGCGUAGGCGGUUAGAUAAGUCUGAUGUGAAAGCCCACAGCUUAACUGUGGGAUUGCAUUGGAAACUAUAGAACUAGAGUGUCGGAGAGGUAAG
rnacentral:rRNA from 1 species